AAAUCUCAAAAAUGAGUUAGUGAAUUGAUUGAUCCAAAAGCCUUAAGGUCUUUUGUUAUCCAAGGGAGAAAACUCAACCUAAAACCACAGAUCCACCAUGUGAGGAUAGCUUCAACAUGCUAGUGAGAGGUUAACCCUAUAAUAAGCAUGGAAGACUUAUUGUCCAUCACUAUGGAUAAAGGUGAGUAUUACAUCUACCUCAAGGAUAACUCAAAUCUAAUAGCUAAAGGUUAUGAAAAAU
rnacentral:lncRNA from 1 species